rnacentral:rRNA from 1 species
UAGGGAAUCUUCGGCAAUGGACGAAAGUCUGACCGAGCAACGCCGCGUGAGUGAAGAAGGUUUUCGGAUCGUAAAACUCUGUUGUUAGAGAAGAACAAGGACGUUAGUAACUGAACGUCCCCUGACGGUAUCUAACCAGAAAGCCACGGCUAACUACGUGCCAGCAGCCGCGGUAAUACGUAGGUGGCAAGCGUUGUCCGGAUGUAUUGGGCGUAAAGCGAGCGCAGGCGGUUUCUUAAGUCUGAUGUGAAAGCCCCCGGCUCAACCGGGGAGGGUCAUUGGAAACUGGGAGACUUGGGUGCAGAAGAGGAGAGUGGAAUUCCAUGUGUAGCGGUGAAAUGCGUAGAUAUAUGGAGGAAAACCAGUGGCGAAGGCGGCUCUCUGGUCUGUAACUGACGCUGAGGCUCGAAAGCGUGGGGAGCAAACAGG